UACGUAGGGACCGAGCGUUGUCCGGAAUCAUUGGGCGUAAAGAGCGUGUAGGCGGCUAUUUAAGUCCUACGUGAAAUCCUGCGGCUCAACCGCAGACGGUCGUGGGAAACUGGAUGGCUAGAGUGCGGGAGAGGAGAGUGGAAUUCCCGGUGUAGCGGUGAAAUGCGCAGAUAUCGGGAAGAACACCCGUGGCGAAGGCGGCUCUCUGGAACGCAACUGACGCUGAGACGCGAAAGCGUGGGGAGCAAACAGG
rnacentral:rRNA from 1 species